AACUUUCAGCAACGGAUCUCUUGGCUCUCGCAUCGAUGAAGAACGCAGCGAAAUGCGAUAAGUAAUGUGAAUUGCAGAAUUCAGUGAAUCAUCGAAUCUUUGAACGCACCUUGCGCCCCUUGGUAUUCCGAGGGGCAUGCCUGUUUGAGUGUCAUGG
rnacentral:rRNA from 1 species